GGUAACCUGCCCAUAAGACUGGGAUAACUCCGGGAAACCGGGGCUAAUACCGGAUAACAUUUUGAACCGCAGGGUUCGAAAUUGAAAGGCGGCUUCGGCUGUCACUUAUGGAUGGACCCGCGUCGCAGUAUCUAGUUGGUGAGGUAACGGCUCACCAAGGCAACGAUGCGUAACCAACCUGAGAGGGUGAUCGGCCACACUGGGACUGAGACACGGCCCAGACUCCUACGGGAGGCAGCAAUAAGGAAUCUUCCGCAAUGGACGAAAGUCUGACGGAGCAACGCCGCGUGAAUGAUGAAGGCUUUCGGGUCGUAAAACUCUGUUGUUAUGGAAGAACAAGUGCUAAUUGAAUAAGCUGGCCCCUUGACGGUACCUAACCAAAAAGCCACGGCUAACUACGUGCCAACAGCCGCGGUAAUAC
rnacentral:rRNA from 2 species